rnacentral:rRNA from 1 species
CUCAGAGAAAUUUGAGCUAAUACCGGAUAAUGUCUUCGGACCAAAGAUUUAUCGCCUUUAGAUGGGCCCGCGUAAGAUUAGCUAGUUGGUGGGGUAAAGGCCUACCAAGGCGACGAUCUUUAGCUGGUCUGAGAGGAUGAUCAGCCACACUGGGACUGAGACACGGCCCAGACUCCUACGGGAGGCAGCAGUGGGGAAUAUUGGACAAUGGGCGAAAGCCUGAUCCAGCAAUGCCGCGUGAGUGAUGAAGGCCUUAGGGUUGUAAAGCUCUUUUACCAGGGAUGAUAAUGACAGUACCUGGAGAAUAAGCUCCGGCUAACUCCGUGCCAGCAGCCGCGGUAAUACGGAGGGAGCUAGCGUUGUUCGGAAUUACUGGGCGUAAAGCGCACGUAGGCGGCUUUUUAAGUCAGGGGUGAAAUCCCGGGGCUCAACCCCGGAACUGCCCUUGAAACUGGGAAGCUAGAAUCUUGGAGAGGCGAGUGGAAUUCCGAGUGUAGAGGUGAAAUUCGUAGAUAUUCGGAAGAACACCAGUGGCGAAGGCGACUCGCUG